rnacentral:lncRNA from 12 species
CUUGUGGUAUGAAAUCGGAGUAAUAAACUUUAUUUUGUGUGAGAUGAGAAAUGAUCAAAUAUGCCUUCUAUUCAUUAAGAUUCUUUUAUUCUUUCUGUAUGAUAUUUAUAAGUGAAGUAAAUAAUAAAAGGUGUUAGAUUUUUCUCUCUCUAAUCUUUGCUGUGAACUUAAGUGGUAAAAUGUAUAGGUGACUCUUCCUGGAGAAGAACAACCUGUUCUAUUUUAUGAUCCUAGGAUGCAACGAUAAAAAACAGAAUUCACGUCUGACAUCCCAUGGUAAAGUCAAUCUUUAUUACAAGUCUACUCCUAAACAUGCUUUCAGACAGUAAAUGAAACUGAUAACAGUAAUUGACAAGUCAACCAAACAACCAAACAAACUUCCUAUCCCCCUCAAACACAAGGAGCAGUUUCCAACACAUGUUGAAGAUCACAGGUCUGUCUGACUAGAUGAUAUUUCCCACAUGGUUCAUGAAAAUUCCAGUGCAAGACUCACAGUGCAAGAUCCCCAUCUUGAAGUAAUGCUCUGUCAGGUUGAACCUGUAAAAGCUCUCUAGAGCUGGCAUGAAUUUGGAUGCUGCAACCAGAGGAUAUUCAAAUAGUGUAUAUGUUGUGUCCAAGGAUAGUCAGAACAAUAAUAGUAUGUUGAGUCUAGGCUGGGGUUAGUCUGAUGAAUCACAGUUUGGGAGGAGAUUUAAUGAUUUUAAUGAGCCAAAAGGGAGUGCCAUACUAGUGUAUUUGAUUCCCAGAGCUAAUCUCUUUUUAUUACUAAUUUCCCUUAUAUGAUUAAAUUAUUUUCAGAAAUAUUCAUGAAUUUAAAUAAAGUAAUAAUAAUGGUCA